rnacentral:rRNA from 1 species
UACAGAGGGUGCAAGCGUUAAUCGGAAUUACUGGGCGUAAAGCGUGCGUAGACGGUUACAUAAGUCGGGUGUGAAAGCCCCGGGCUCAACCUGGGGAUUGCAUUCGAGACUGCGUAGCUAGGGUGCGGAAGAGGGAAGCGGAAUUUCCGGUGUAGCGGUGAAAUGCGUAGAUAUCGGAAGGAACACCAGUGGCGAAAGCGGCUUCCUGGUCCAGCACCGACGUUCAGGCACGAAAGCGUGGGGAGCAAACAGG